rnacentral:rRNA from 1 species
ACUGCGGAGGAUCAUUACAGAGUUCAUGCCCUAAUGGGUAGACCUCCCACCCUUGUGUAUUUAUACUAUGUUGCUUUGGUGGGUUGCGCCUGCGGGUGCUUUAGGGCUUGCUCGCCCGCCGAAGAAUAUUUAAACUCUGUUUAUUAGUGUUGUCUGAGUACUAUAUAAUAGUUAAAACUUUCAACAACGGAUCUCUUGGUUCUGGCAUCGAUGAAGAACGCAGCGAAAUGCGAUAAGUAAUGUGAAUUGCAGAAUUCAGUGAAUCAUCGAAUCUUUGAACGCACAUUGCGCCCCUUGGUAUUCCGGGGGGCAUGCCUGUUCGAGCGUCAUUUCAACCCUCAAGCUCUGCUUGGUAUUGGGCUUUGCCAAUAAAAUGGCGGGCCUUAAAAUCAGUGUGCGGUGCCGUUGGGUCCUGAGCGUAGUAAUUUCUUUCUCGCUACAGGUUCCCCGCGUGCCUCUGCCAUUAAACACCCAAUUUUCUAUGGUUGACCUCGGAUCAGGUAGGGAUACCCGCUGAACUUAAGCAUAUCAAUAAGCGGAGGACCUGUGUGAAAUUG